GAAAGCAUCUAAGCGUGAAGCCCACCUCAAGAUUAGAUUUCCCAUAGCGUAAGCUAGUAAGACCCCUGAAAGACUAUCAGGUUGAUAGGUUGGAGGUGUAAGUACAGUAAUGUAUUCAGCUGACCAAUACUAAUAGGUCGAGGGCUUGAUCAAAUU
rnacentral:rRNA from 1 species